rnacentral:rRNA from 1 species
AGGGAAUAUUGGACAAUGGAGGCAACUCUGAUCCAGCCAUCCCGCGUGAAGGAUUAAGGCCCUCUGGGUUGUAAACUUCUUUUCUCUGGGAAUAAAAACCGGUAUUCAUAUCGGCUUGAAGGUACCAGAGGAAUAAGCACCGGCUAACUCCGUGCCAGCAGCCGCGGUAAUACGGAGGGUGCAAGCGUUAUCCGGAUUCACUGGGUUUAAAGGGUGCGUAGGUGGCUUUGUAAGUCAGUGGUGAAAUCUUAGAGCUUAACUCUAAAACUGCCAUUGAUACUGCUUAGCUUGAAUCAGGUCGAGGUGGAUGGAAUAUUACAUGUAGCGGUGAAAUGCUUAGAUAUGUAAUAGAACACCGAUUGCGAAGGCAGUUCACUAGGCCUGUAUUGACACUGAGGCACGAAAGCGUGGGGAUCAAAC